rnacentral:rRNA from 1 species
GACAGAGGGUGCAAACGUCGUUCGGAAUUACUGGGCGUAAAGCGCGUGUAGGCGGCCCUGCAAGUCGGGUGUGAAAUCCCACGGCUCAACCGUGGAAGUGCACUCGAAACUGCAGGGCUAGAGUCCUGGAGAGGAAGGUGGAAUGCUUGGUGUAGAGGUGAAAUUCGUAGAUAUCAAGCGGAACACCGGUGGCGAAGGCGGCCUUCUGGACAGUGACUGACGCUGAGACGCGAAAGCGUGGGGAGCAAACAGG